rnacentral:misc_RNA from 1 species
UUUCCGUAGGUGAACCUGCGGAAGGAUCAUUCAUAAUAAGUGAUUUUAUGACACUUUUUAAAAAUACAUAUCCACCUUGUGUGUACUGUUAGAUGUCGUCAAUCUUGGCGAGAUUUUUAUACAUCAACUCAUUAUUUAACUAAUUUGUCUGAAAAAUAUUAUGAAUAAUCAAUUCAAAAUACAACUUUCAACAACGGAUCUCUUGGCUCUC